UUGAACGCUGGCGGCAUGCCUUACACCUGCAAGUCGAACGGUAACGGGCCUUCGGGUGCCGACGAGUGGCGAACGGGUGAGUAAUACAUCGGAACGUGCCCGAUCGUGGGGGAUAACGAGGCGAAAGCUUUGCUAAUACCGCAUACGAUCUACGGAUGAAAGCAGGGGACCGCAAGGCCUUGCGCGGACGGAGCGGCCGAUGGCAGAUUAGGUAGUUGGUGGGAUAAAAGCUUACCAAGCCGACGAUCUGUAGCUGGUCUGAGAGGAUGAUCAGCCACACUGGGACUGAGACACGGCCCAGACUCCUACGGGAGGCAGCAGUGGGGAAUUUUGGACAAUGGGCGCAAGCCUGAUCCAGCCAUGCCGCGUGCAGGAUGAAGGCCUUCGGGUUGUAAACUGCUUUUGUACGGAACGAAAAGCCUUCUUUUAAUACAGGAGGGUCAUGACGGUACCGUAAGAAUAAGCACCGGCUAACUACGUG
rnacentral:rRNA from 1 species